rnacentral:rRNA from 1 species
UACGGAGGAUGCGAGCGUUAUCCGGAUUUAUUGGGUUUAAAGGGUGCGCAGGCGGAAGAUCAAGUCAGCGGUAAAAUUGAGAGGCUCAACCUCUUCGAGCCGUUGAAACUGGUUUUCUUGAGUGAGCGAGAAGUAUGCGGAAUGCGUGGUGUAGCGGUGAAAUGCAUAGAUAUCACGCAGAACUCCGAUUGCGAAGGCAGCUUACUAAGCCAUAACUGACACUGAAGCACGAAAGCGUGGGGAUCAAACAGG